rnacentral:rRNA from 1 species
GUGGGGAAUAUUGGACAAUGGGGGGAACCCUGAUCCAGCCAUGCCGCGUGUGUGAAGAAGGCCUUUUGGUUGUAAAGCACUUUAAGCGAGGAGGAGGCUACCGAGAUUAAUACUCUUGGAUAGUGGACGUUACUCGCAGAAUAAGCACCGGCUAACUCUGUGCCAGCAGCCGCGGUACUACAGAGGGUGCAAGCGUUAAUCGGAUUUACUGGGCGUAAAGCGCGCGUUGGUGGACAAUUAAGUCAAAUGUGAAAUCCCCGAACUUAACUUGGGAAUUGCAUUCGAUACUGGUUGGCUAGAGUAUGGGAGAGGAUGGUAGAAUUCCAGGUGUAGCGGUGAAAUGCGUAGAGAUCUGGAGGAAUACCGAUGGCGAAGGCAGCCAUCUGGCCUAAUACUGACACUGAGGUGCGAAAGCAUGGGGAGCAAACAGGAUUAGAAACCCGGGUAGUCC